rnacentral:tmRNA from 1 species
UGAAUGCGCUAAGCAUGUAGUACCGACGAUGUAGGUUUUUCGGACGCGGGUUCAACUCCCGCCAGCUCCACCA